rnacentral:ncRNA from 1 species
GAAAAGUUUGAUUCUUGCUUUGAAAUUUAUUUAAUAAAUUUUUUACAUGUAUGUCUGGCAGUAUUUAAUUUUAUACAACUAAUUAGGUAUAGAGAUUAAUUUAGUUCUGGAGAAAUUCGUGCCAGCAUCCGCGGUUAGACGUAGGGGGCUAAUAAAUUUAUUUGGUUAAAUAAAGUAUUGGAAUAAAUUUUAAUCUAGCAAGGCUUAAGUGAAAUUAAUCUUGUUUAAUUAAAUUUUUGGGGAAGCUUUGAAAUUUUGUUAACGGGACCAGGAUUAGAUACCCUGUUACUCGAUUUUAAUUUUUACCUAAGUAGUAUUAUUUAUUUUUGAAACUUAAAGAAUUUGGCGGUACUUUAUUCUUUUCAGAGGAACCUGUUCUGUUAAAGAUACCACACUAUUAUAAAACUUUUUUUUAAUUUAUAUAUCGUUGUCUUUAGAAUUAGUUAUAUAGGCUUUUUCAAUUAUUUUAAUUUAAAAAAAAGUCAAAUCAAGGUGUAGUAUAAUUAAGUAGAAAUGGGUUACAUUUAUUUAAAUAACAGAUUUAUGCUUGUGAAAAAUUGGAUUUGAGAUUAAAAUUACUAUUUAUAUAAUUUGAACUGAGCUCUAAGGUAUGUACAUAUCGCCCGUCGCUCUAAUUAUUUAAAAUUAGAUAAGUCGUAACAAAGUAGUUCUUCCGGAAGGAGGGGCUUAGGCGUG